GACGUAGGGCGCGAGCGUUGUCCGGAUUUAUUGGGCGUAAAGAGCGUGUAGGCGGCUUUACAGGUCCGUUGUGAAAACUCGAGGCUCAACCUCGAGACGCCGGUGGAAACCGUAAGGCUAGAGUCCGGAAGAGGAGAGUGGAAUUCCUGGUGUAGCGGUGAAAUGCGCAGAUAUCAGGAGGAACACCCGUGGCGAAAGCGGCUCUCUGGGACGGUACUGACGCUGAGACGCGAAAGCGUGGGGAGCAAACAGG
rnacentral:rRNA from 1 species